GUUUGAUGGGGACACAAGAUCAUGCCUUAAGGAAAUAUUUAAAACCAAGGACCGGAGAGAGACAGUGCCCCAAGUAGGAAUCAAAAGGGUAAACACGGAGCAGCAGACCCGAUUGCUCUAUGAAUACCUAUUGCACACCUGGGAAGGAAACGAAGGACGCGACUUCUACACUGAAAUGGGGACCAGGAGCAGAAGAAGCCUCACAAACCUCUGAAUUUUCUUGUACAGCAGUGUUCAGAGAUGGCAGAAGAGACCACAACAGUCUGUAAGAAUCAGGGAGAAGAAUUUAAAUGCAAACCAUCAGGGACAAGAAGCCACUUCUCUGAUCCUUUCUCCUGCUGUGGUUGUGACUGGAGAUCAGCAAUGAGCCAGGCCCAGGGUGAGAGGACAAAUUCUCUUCCAAGCUGGUGGUUCCUGUAGGCUGGUGGCUUGAUCCAACACUGCCCAGAUUCCUGGGUUUUGCCGUCUUCUGGACUAUUAUUUCCUUCACAUUUUCUUAUUAUUAUUU